GAUGAAGAACGUAGCGAACUGCGAUAAGUAAUGUGAAUUGCAGAAUUCAGUGAAUCAUCGAGUCUUUGAACGCACAUUGCGCCCCCUGGCAUUCCGGGGGGCAUGCCUGUCCGAGCGUCAUUGCUGCCUUUCAAGCCCGGCUUGUGUGUUGGGUCGUCGUCCCCCCCGGGGGACGGGCCCGAAAGGCAGCGGCGGCACCGCGUCCGGUCCUCGAGCGUAUGGGGCUUUGUCACCCGCUCGAUUAGGGCCGGCCGGGCGCCAGCCGGCGUCUCCAACCUUCUAUUUUACCAGGUUGACCUCGGAUCAGGUAGGGAUACCCGCUGAACUUAAGCAUAUCAAUAAGCGGAGGA
rnacentral:misc_RNA from 1 species